AUUAUUAUAUUGAAAUAUUUUUAUUAUUUCUAUUAUUCUAUUAUAUAGUUAUUCUUGUUUUUUUUCAUUAAAACCAAUUCAUUGUUAUAAUUCAAAAUUCGAAUCCAUUUAUUUCAUUCAUCUAUUGUCCGAAAUUUUUCUCCUGGAACGGCACAAUAACAAAAAUCCUUCCCUCCUAUAGUCACCAACAUGCAAUGUAAUCUUAUUUGAUGUGACAUUUUCGGCCAUGUGUUAUUACUCAUACAAUUAUACUAGUUCUAUUAGAAAUAAUCAAUAGACCCGCAUCUUUUUCAGGGACAAAUUCUUAAGCGUCUCAUGAUACUUAAAUUUUAUUGCGAUAUAAUAUUUAUCGACACAUAAAUAUAACGUAUAAAUACAAUUCGUAAAAAAAUUGGAAAGGAUUGGAAAAAAAAAACAAUUUCACUGAAUAUACACGCAAGUAUUUUAUAUGCGGUGCGCAACACGUAUAUAUGCAUAUGUAUUAUGCGCAUAUAGAGAGCGCAGCGUGGGAAGGCAUGGGAAAAUUGUAUAGGAGUUGGGUUCACAAUUGAAGGGGAAACUAGAGACAGAAGGGAACGUCGAGUCGUUGGACGCUCCGUUGAAGCGCAGAGUGGCAAGCGGAGUCGGGGAUCGGAGGGUCUGUCACGUUGAGUGGGGCACCAUAGAGAGAAGAGGAAAAACAGAGGGGGAACGGUGAGACGGCCCAGACCUGCGCUGCUUCCAGCGCUUGAGGGUUAAGGCCCGUUACGCAACAGAAAAAUAGCCGCUGAACAGAGACGUAGGGAAACGAGGGUAAAGCGAGACAAACAUAGAGGAAAGAGAAAGAAGAGAGGGGAGAGUUGGGAAAAGAGAAAGAGACUAAAACUGCCGUGAGAGAGAGACGCGUGAAAGCCACUGAUACUGCAAGAAGGGGGCAAGAUGAAAAGAGGGGGAGGAUACUCGACCCAGUAGCGUAACCAUCAUGAAGUAAAUAUAUAUAAAGAAACAGAUAUAAUGAAAACAGAUUAAUCUGUAAUGCAUGAUAGAAUAACGAAAUAAUAUUGGCUAAAAUAUAAUAAUUUCGGAAAUAUAAUAUUUUAUAAAUUAAAGAUUUUAUAUUUAAAUUAUUUUAUAUCUUAAAAGCGAAUUAAAAAAGUAAUUAAA